rnacentral:lncRNA from 1 species
CUCCACCUCCAUUAUUUCUUUAACAACACAACCUCCACACCUCCAUCUUCACCAGGCCCAUCUUAAUCGCCGCUUCAACCUCCUUCAGAUUCGUUCAUACUUCUUUCUCCACCUCGACUCAACUUCAAAGACGGAGCCGCCACUAUUCCGGCAACGCUCCAACCCCCUACUUCAAGCCGCCCAAACCUCCGCUACAAUCAUCUUUCCUCCAUCUCCACCUUCCCCUCCACCAUCUCCACCACUAUCACCACCAUCUGAAUCGAAAACAUGAACAGAUCUGGAGAUUCUAAGCUGGUUAAUAUCUGGAGAUUGAGUUUUCACUAAAUUCUGCAGCACAGAUCACUAAAUCCUAAAAAGAUAAUCACUAAAUUGUACUGAGAAUAUCACUAACUUGUAUUGGUUUCUAGUUUUUAUUUUAAAAUUGGUUUCUAU